rnacentral:rRNA from 1 species
CUGCAGGCUUCUCCGCCUGGGCGAUGCCUGCGGAUGACGCCGCGUCUUGACGAGGCCCUCGGCUCCUAACAUUCUCGUUGGAAGAUUUCUCUCGGCGUAAACCGCCGGCUCUGCGGUACUGCGGGAGCCCCGGCCAAUCUCGCCAGCAGCCGCGGUAGACAGAGUAGCAGCGUCGCUCGGACCUCUGGGCGUAAAUCGCGCCUAUGCGGUUUGUAAGUCGGAUGUGAAUCCCCGAGCUCAACUCUGGGAACAGCAUUCGAUAUUGCCUAACUAGAGUCUGGUAGAGGAAAUCGGAAUUCCCGGUGUAGCGGUGAAAUGCGUAGCUCUCGGGAGGAACAUCAGUGGCGAAGGCGGCUUUUUUGGACCAAUAUUGACGCUUGAGGCGCGAAAGCGUGGGUAGCAAACAGGAUUAGAUCCCCUGGUAGUCCACGCCCUUAAACCCUGUCAACAGCCGUUGGGUUCAUUUAGAAACUUAUUGGCGCACUUACGCGAUAGUUUGACCGCUUGGGGAGUUCCGGCCGCA